CUUGGGCCCCAGCUAUUCCCUCCAGAUACUCCUUGGGAUCCCAGCUAUUCUUCCCAGAUAAUCCUUGAGGACCCAGCUAUUUCUCCCAGAUACUCCUUGGGGACCCAGCUAUUUCCCCCAGAUACUCCUCGGGAUCCAAGUUAUUCCUCCCAGAUACUCCUCAGGGUCCCAGCUAUUCCCCUCAGAUACUCCUUGGGCCCCAGCUAUUUCCCCCCAGAUACUCCUUGGACUCCAGUUAUUCCCUCCAAAUACUUGGGUCCCAGCUAUUCCCUCCAGAUACUCCUUGGGCCCCAGUAAUUCCCUUCAGAUAUGCCUCAGUCUCUGCUAGUCCCUCCAGAUACUUCUCUGGCUUGAGCCAUUCCUCCCAGAUACUCCUCGGGGAUCCAGCUAUUUCCCCCAGAUACUUCUCAGUCCCAGCUAUUCCCCCCAGAUACUCCUCAGUCCCAGCUAUUUCCCCAGAUACUCCUCAGUCCCAGCUAUUCCCCUCCAGAUACUCCUCAGUCCCAGCUAUUUCCACAGAUACUCCUCAGUCCCAGCUAUUCCCCUCCAGAUACUCCUCAGUCCCAGCUAUUUCCCCAGAUACUCCUCAGUCCCAGCUAUUCCCCUCCAGAUACUCCUCAGUCCCAGCUAUUUCCACAGAUACUCCUCAGUCCCAGCUAUUCCCCUCCAGAUACUCCUCAGUCCCAGCUGUUUCCCCCAGAUACUCCUCAGUCCCAGCUAUUCCCCCCAGAUACUCCUCAGUCCCAGCUAUUCCCCUCCAGGUACUCCUCAGUCCCAGCUAUUUCCCCAGAUACUCCUCAGUCUCAGCUAUUUCCCUCCAGAUACUCCCCAGUCCCAGCGAUUCCCCUCCAGAUACUCCUCAGUCCCAGCUAUUCCCCUCCAGAUACUCCUCAGUCCCAACUAUUUCCCCCAGAUACUCCUCAGUCCCAGCGAUUCCCCUCCAGAUACUCCUCAGUCUCAGCUAUUCCCCCCAGAUACUCCUCAGUCCCAGCUAUUUCCCCGGAUACUCCUCAGUCCCAGCUAUUCCCCUCCAGACACUCCUCAGUCCCAGCUAUUUCCCCCAGAUACUCCUCAGUCCCAGCGAUUCCCCUCCAGAUACUCCUCAGUCCCAGCUGUUUCCCCCAGAUACUCCUCAGUCCCAGCUUUUCCCCCCAGAUACUCCUCAGGCUGCAGCUAUUCCCUCCAGAUGCUCCUCAAGUCCCAGCUAUUCCCUCCAGAUAUUCCUUGAUUCCCGGGUAUUCCCCCCAGAUACUCCUAAGCUUUAUCAACUUCCUCCAGAAAUUUAUUAAGCCCAGAUACUCCCCAAGCCUCAGUUACUCCUUUCAGAUUCUCUACAAGCCCAAGCUACUCCUUCCAGACUCCUCCAAGCCAUAGAAACUUCUUUCAGUUCCUCCCCAUGUCCAAAUACCCCUCAGUUCUUCCCAGAAACUAGAUCAUCCUCAAACCCUUGUUCCUGGAAGACUCAUAGUGUUCCCACAGGCCUCAAGUCCUCCUCGAGUCCAGAUGCUCCCCCUAGUUCCCAGCUCUGGCAGGGUCCAGAUGCUCCCCCUAGUUCUCAGCUCUGGCAGAGUCUAGAAGCUCCCUCUAGCUCCUUGCUGUGACAGAGUCCAGAUACUCCCCAGGACUCAAGACUCCCUCCUCUUGCUCUCUGAAUCCAGAUUCUAUCCAGACCCCAACUCCACGUGGAAGGCAGGUUCUCCCAGGCCUCAGCUACUGCUGAGGCCAGAAGUUCCCCCAAGGCAUUCCCCAAGCCAGAUACUCUCCAGGCCUCAGCUCCUCCUGGAAUCCAGGUGUUCCUCAAACCUCCAUCACACUCUCCAGGAACCCUCUGAAUUGGGAUACCCCUUGGCUUCAGCUCUGUACACAAUCCAGAUUCUCUCCAGAGUUGAGAUCCUCCCCAGGCCCCAGAUCCAGGUUCUUGC
rnacentral:lncRNA from 1 species